AGUAACACGUAUCCAAUCUACCUUAUAAUGGGGGAUAACUAGUUGAAAGACUAGCUAAUACCGCAUAAGAACUUUGGUUCGCAUGAAUCAAAGUUGAAAGGACCUGCAAGGGUUCGUUAUUUGAUGAGGGUGCGCCAUAUCAGCUAGUUGGUGGGGUAACGGCCUAAAAAGGCAAUGACGUGUAGCUAUGCUGAGAAGUAGAAUAGCCACAAUGGGACUGAGACACGGCCCAUACUCCUACGGGAGGCAGCAGUAGGGAAUUUUUCACAAUGAGCGAAAGCUUGAUGGAGCAAUGCCGCGUGAACGAUGAAGGUCUUUAAGAUUGUAAAAUUCUUUUAUUUGGGAAGAAUGACUUUAGCAGGUAAUGGCUAGAGUUUGACUGUACCAUUUUGAAUAAGUGACGACUAACUAUGUGCCAGCAGUCGCGGUAAUACAUAGGUCGCAAGCGUUAUCCGGAUUUAUUGGGCGUAAAGCAAGCGCAGGCGGAUUGAAAAGUCUGGUGUUAAAGGCAGCUGCUUAACAGUUGUAUGCAUUGGAAACUAUUAAUCUAGAGUGUGGUAGGGAGUUUUGGAAUUUCAUGUGGAGCGGUGAAAUGCGUAGAUAUAUGAAGGAACACCAGUGGCGAAGGCGAAAACUUAGGCCAUUACUGACGCUUAGGCUUGAAAGUGUGGGGAGCAAAUAGGAUUAGAUACCCUAGUAGUCCACACCGUAAACGAUAGAUACUAGCUGUCGGGGCGAUCCCCUCGGUAGUGAAGUUAACACAUUAAGUAUCUCGCCUGGGUAGUACAUUCGCAAGAAUGAAACUCAAACGGAAUUGACGGGGACCCGCACAAGUGGUGGAGCAUGUUGCUUAAUUCGACGGUACACGAAAAACCUUACCUAGACUUGACAUCCUUGGCAAAGUUAUGGAAACAUAAUGGAGGUUAACCGAGUGACAGGUGGUGCAUGGUUGUCGUCAGC
rnacentral:rRNA from 1 species